rnacentral:sRNA from 1 species
UAUCUGGAAGAGGGUUCAAUCCCAUCAGA